rnacentral:lncRNA from 1 species
UUAUUUGCCGAGGGAUCGGGUUUAAGUAUUUUAGUGAGGGACGAUGGAAUUAAUGCAUAAAGAAGAAUUCUUAUAUACAUGAGAGGAAACUUGGUGAAAUCUAACCCCAACAACAUACUCAUAUCAUAUAAAUCAACCUUCAUUCAUCUUUGUGCUCCUUUGCCAUUGAUCAAUUGCAAUCUUUAUUUUCUUUAUUAUUUUUGCACUCCAAACCCAUGAUCUCUUUUAUUCUAAGUCUUGAUUAAUCUUGUUUUCAUACAAUUGUUCAACGUCGAGAGUCCUCUAGGAUACGAUACUUGGUCUUACCAUUUUAUAUUACUUGUGCGACUCGGUACACUAGCCGAUUUGCC